CCAUGGUAUACCCAGUGCCUUUGGAAUUUUUUUGUACCCUUUUCUUAUGGAUACCUUCCAAGAAUGAGAUACUUGGACGCUUUUUAAGCUGUUGGCAGACCAUGACUUCUGUUGUAAGAGGCACCUGAGUAAAUAUCAGAAAAAAUCCGACUACAACAACUGAACUUUAUAUGGAUUUGAUCAGAGUCACUUGACAGUUUCGAUAUUAAAGGAAACAUAAAAAUGAUCAGAUAAAAUGCAUGGAAUGCAUCCUGGACUUUAAGAGUGAUGACUAAUAAAAUUAGUGGAGCAACAUUGGAAUUCCUCAGAUCCAAGAAAAAGCACUCAUAUUCCAUUCAUUUUGCAAUGAGAUUGUGGAAUCCAGUUCCCUUUUUGCUCCAGUUGUCAUCCGAAAAUUCUGCUUUUCCAGAAAAUUAAUU
rnacentral:lncRNA from 1 species